rnacentral:rRNA from 1 species
AACGAACGCUGGCGGCAGGCCUAACACAUGCAAGUCGAGCGAGCAUUUCGGUGCUAGCGGCGGACGGGUGAGUAACGCGUGGGAACGUGCCCUUUUCUGCGGAACAGUCCUGGGAAACUGGGGGUAAUACCGCAUACGCCCUUUUGGGGAAAGAUUUAUCGGAGAAGGAUCGGCCCGCGUUGGAUUAGGUAGUUGGUGGGGUAAUGGCCCACCAAGCCGACGAUCCAUAGCUGGUUUGAGAGGAUGAUCAGCCACACUGGGACUGAGACACGGCCCAGACUCCUACGGGAGGCAGCAGUGGGGAAUCUUAGACAAUGGGGGCAACCCUGAUCUAGCCAUGCCGCGUGAGUGAUGAAGGCCUUAGGGUUGUAAAGCUCUUUCAGCUGGGAAGAUAAUGACGGUACCAGCAGAAGAAGCCCCGGCUAACUCCGUG